rnacentral:rRNA from 1 species
CAGCCGUAAACUAUGCUCGCUAGGUGUCAGGUAUGGCGCGACCGUGUCUGGUGCCGCAGGGAAGCCGUGAAGCGAGCCACCUGGGAAGUACGGCCGCAAGGCUGAAACUUAAAGGAAUUGGCGGGGGAGCACAACAACGGGUGGAGCCUGCGGUUUAAUUGGACUCAACGCCGGACAACUCACCGGGGACGACAGCAAUAUGUAGGCCAGGCUGAAGACCUCGCCUGAAUCGCUGAGAGGAGGUGCAUGGCGUAGACGUCU